GUCGAGAAUCUUUCACAAUGGGGGCAACCCUGAUGGAGCGACGCCGCGUGGAGGAUAAGGUCUUCGGAUUGUAAACUCCUGUCAUGCGUGAACAAGGUUGCUUGGUUAAUACCUGGGCAAAUUGAUGGUAACGCAAGAGGAAGAGACGGCUAACUCUGUGCCAGCAGCCGCGGUAAUACAGAGGUCUCAAGCGUUGUUCGGAAUCACUGGGCGUAAAGGGUGCGUAGGUGGUGUGGUAAGUCAGAUGUGAAAGCCCGGGGCUCAACCUCGGAACUGCAUCCGAUACUGCCAUGCUAGAGUACUGGAGAGGUGACUAGAAUUCUCGGUGUAGCAGUGAAAUGCGUAGAUAUCGAGAGGAAUACCAAAGGCGUAGGCAGGUCACUGGACAGUUACUGACACUGAGGCACGAAGGCCAGGGGAGCGAACGGGAUUAGAUACCCGGGUAGUCC
rnacentral:rRNA from 1 species